UAUCUGACAUCGUAUAGAGAGAUUAAUUGCAACAUCGUUGGUUGCCCAAGUGUGGGUUAACCUCCGUCGCUUCCCCUCAUGAAUUUGGGAGGAAGGUGUUUUGCGGUCCCUUUCCUCGGACUUCUUAACAUAUCGCGGCGCGAAAAGAUGAUGUUGCCCAAGUCAAGUACACUAACCAGGUGCAUUCUCGAGAGAGGAUGUCACCGCGUCUGCCGUAGACAUACGGUUGGACGUAAGUGCUUUCUUGUGAGGCCUCACCGACAUGAGGUCUCGUAUGCAAGGAAGCGCGGGAAAAUGUAUGCUUUUGGUUCGGGAAGCGCGCAACAUUGCUUACCAGCUUAUGUUGUCUGCAAAGCGGCGCAUCUUCGGAUGCAGUUUUGCUCUUUCUGGAUCAAAUCAAGCGCGAGAAGGGCGUUUGGUGAAUGCCUUGGCAGUAAGAGGCGAUGAAGGACGUGAUACUCUGCGAUAAGUCAUGGGGAGCUGAGAAUAGGCUUUGAUCCAUGAAUUUCCGAAUGGGGGAACCCACCUGACAGUUCGAUAUUGUUACCUUGGUAAUCAAUAUCUUGCUGAACCAGGUACUUAUAGACUGAAUACAUAGGUUUAUAAGAGCAAACCCGGGGAACUGAAACAUCUAAGUACCCGGAGGAAAGGACAUCAAUAGAGACUUCCCUAGUAGCGGCGAGCGAACGGGAACCAGCCGAGCAUGAUAAGUGACUAGAACACGUUGGAAAGCGUGGCCAUAGCGGGUGAUAGCCCCGUAUAGGAAGCUUUGAGUGACGUAUUAAGUAGGGCGGAACACGUGAAAUUCUGUCUGAAGAUCGGGGGACCACCCCCGAAGGCUAAGUACUCCUUACUGACCGAUAGUGAACCAGUACCGUGAGGGAAAGGUGAAAAGCACCCCGACGAGGGGAGUGAAACAGUUUCUGAAACCGGACGCCUACAAGCAGUCGGAGGGACCUCGAGUCCUGACGGCGUACCUUUUGUAUAAUGGGUCAUCGACUUGGUCUUACGAGCAAGCUUAAGCCGUUAGGUGUAGGCGUAGCGAAAGCGAGUCUUAAUAGGGCGCAUGAGUUCGUGGGAUCAGACCCGAAACCGAGUGAUCUAGGCAUGACCAGGAUGAAGGUUAGGUAACACUAACUGGAGGUCCGAACCCACACCUGUUGAAAAAGGUCGGGAUGAGUUGUGCCUAGGGGUGAAAGGCCAAUCAAACUCGGAGAUAGCUGGUUCUCUGCGAAAUCUAUUUAGGUAGAGCGUCAUCCGAAUACCCCGGGGGGUAGAGCACUGGAUGGGUAAUGGGGCCUUACCGGCUUACUGAUCCUAACCAAACUCCGAAUACCCGGGAGUACUAGAUGGCAGACACACUGCGGGUGCUAACGCCCGUAGUGGAGAGGGAAACAACCCUGACCUCCGGCUAAGGCCCCUAAUUCAUGGCUAAGUGGGAAAGCAGGUGGGACGACCAAAACAACCAGGAGGUUGGCUUAGAAGCAGCCAUCCUUUAAAGAUAGCGUAACAGCUCACUGGUCUAGAUAAGUUGUCCUGCGGCGAAGAUGUAACGGGGCUCAAGCCAUGAGCCGAAGCCGAGGAUGCCGUAAGGCAUGGUAGCAGAGCGUAGUGUGACAUAGUUCCAUGCGUCCUUAACUUCCUUCGGGAAGCCUUGGACGCACGGAGCUUUCUGUGAAGCUGGCGCGUGAGCGAUCCGGUGGAGAGAUCACUAGUGAGAAUGAUGACAUGAGUAGCGACAAACAGGGUGAGAGACCCUGUCGCCGAAAGUCCAAGGGUUCCUGCUUAAAGCUAAUCUGAGCAGGGUAAGCCGACCCCUAAGGCGAGGCCGAAAGGCGUAGUCGAUGGGAACCAGGUUAAUAUUCCUGGGCCAGAGAGAAGUGACGGAUCGCAGAGGUCGUUCAUCCUUAUCGGAUUGAAUGGGCGGCUGAGCGGUUCCUGGAAAUAGCCUCUCAUUAGAUCGUACCCUAAACCGACACAGGUGGACUGGUAGAGAAUACCAAGGCGCUUGAGAGAACGAUGUUGAAGGAACUCGGCAAAAUACCUCCGUAAGUUCGCGAGAAGGAGGCCCAGUUUCUACGCAAGUAUUGGCUGGGGGCACAAACCAGGGGGUGGCGACUGUUUACUAAAAACACAGGGCUCUGCGAAGUCGCAAGACGACGUAUAGGGUCUGACGCCUGCCCGGUGCCUGAAGGUUAAAAGGAGGAGUGCAAGCUCCGAAUUGAAGCCCAGGUAAACGGCGGCCGUAACUAUAACGGUCCUAAGGUAGCGAAAUUCCUUGUCGGGUAAGUUCCGACCUGCACGAAUGGCGUAACGACUUCCCCGCUGUCUCCAACAUCGACUCAGCGAAAUUGAAUUGCCUGUCAAGAUGCAGGCUUCCCGCGGUUAGACGGAAAGACCCCGUGCACCUUUACUACAGCUUCACACUGGCAUUAGGCCGAACAUGUGCAGGAUAGGUGGUGGGCUUUGAAACCGAGACGCCAGUCUCGGUGGAGCCUCCCUUGAGAUACCACCCUUGUUCUGCUUGAUGUCUAACCGCGGUCCGUUAUCCGGAUCCGGGACCCUGUGUGGCGGGUAGUUUGACUGGGGCGGUCGCCUCCCAAAGAGUAACGGAGGCGCGCGAAGGUUGGCUCAGAGCGGUCGGAAAUCGCUCGUUGAGUGCAAUGGCAGAAGCCAGCCUGACUGCAAGACUGACAAGUCGAGCAGAGUCGAAAGACGGCCAUAGUGAUCCGGUGGUCCCGAGUGGAAGGGCCAUCGCUCAACGGAUAAAAGGUACGCCGGGGAUAACAGGCUGAUACUGCCCAAGAGUCCAUAUCGACGGCAGUGUUUGGCACCUCGAUGUCGGCUCAUCUCAUCCUGGGGCUGGAGCAGGUCCCAAGGGUACGGCUGUUCGCCGUUUAAAGAGGUACGUGAGCUGGGUUUAGAACGUCGUGAGACAGUUCGGUCCCUAUCUGCCGUGGGUGUAGGAUACUUGAGAGGAGUUGCCCCUAGUACGAGAGGACCGGGGUGAACGAUCCACUGGUGGACCAGUUGUUAUGCCAAUAGCAGUGCUGGGUAGCUAUGAUCGGAAAGGAUAACCGCUGAAGGCAUCUAAGCGGGAAGCCCCCCUCAAAACAAGGUAUCCCUGAGAGCCGAGGUAGACCACCUCGUCGAUAGGCCGGAGAUGUAAGUGCAGCAAUGCAUUCAGUUGACCGGUACUAAUUGCUCGAUAGGCUUGAUUU
rnacentral:rRNA from 1 species